AGAGUUUGAUCCUGGCUCAGGAUGAACGCUAGCGGCAGGCUUAACACAUGCAAGUCGAGGGGCAGCGGAGCGGAGUGCUUGCACUCUGCUGCCGGCGACCGGCGCACGGGUGAGUAACACGUAUGCAACCUGCCCCGGAGCGGGGGAUAACCCGGCGAAAGCCGGACUAAUACCGCGUAUAUAUCCAGGAGGCAUCUUCUGGAUAGGAAAGGACUUCGGUCCGCUCCGGGAUGGGCAUGCGGCGCAUUAGGCAGACGGCGGGGUAACGGCCCACCGUACCGACGAUGCGUAGGGGUUCUGAGAGGAAGGCCCCCCACACUGGUACUGAGACACGGACCAGACUCCUACGGGAGGCAGCAGUGAGGAAUAUUGGUCAAUGGGCGAGAGCCUGAACCAGCCAAGCCGCGUGAGGGAAGAAGGCGCUCAGCGUCGUAAACCUCUUUAGCCGGGGGACAAAACCUCCUCGUGAAGGAGGCUUGAGAGUACCCGGAGAAUAAGCAUCGGCUAACUCCGUGCCAGCAGCCGCGGUAAUACGGAGGAUGCGAGCGUUAUCCGGAUUUAUUGGGUUUAAAGGGUGCGCAGGCGGACAUUCAAGUCUGCGGUCAAAUUCCGGGGCUCAACCCCGGCCAGCCGUGGAAACUGAAUGACUUGAGUGGGCGAGAGGUAUGCGGAAUGCGCGGUGUAGCGGUGAAAUGCUUAGAGAUCGCGCAGAACUCCGAUUGCGAAGGCAGCAUACCGGCGCCUUACUGACGCUCAGGCACGAAAGCGUGGGGAUCGAACAGGAUUAGAUACCCUGGUAGUCCACGCAGUAAACGAUGAAUGCUGGUUGUUCGGGCCGACUGAGGCCUGAGUAACGUAGUGAAAACGUUAAGCAUUCCACCUGGGGAGUACGCCGGCAACGGUGAAACU
rnacentral:rRNA from 1 species